rfam:Wickerhamomyces ciferrii, NRRL Y-1031 F-60-10, WGS project CAIF01000000 data, contig: 00357
GGAUUUAUAGCUUAAUAGUAAAGUACUAUCUUGUCAUGAUAGGGGAUGUCAGUGCAAAUCUGAUUGAAUUCG